AUCGUUUCUCAGCCUUUUGGCUAAGAUCAAGUGUAGUAUCUGUACUUAGCAGUUUAAUACAUACUAUAUAUAAUAUGUAUUAUAUAUAACAUAU
rnacentral:snRNA from 1 species